CACACUGGUUUACUUGUUGCUUGCUUGUU
rnacentral:piRNA from 1 species